UAAUGUCUGGGAAACUGCCUGAUGGAGGGGGAUAACUACUGGAAACGGUAGCUAAUACCGCAUAAUGUCGCAAGACCAAAGUGGGGGACCUUCGGGCCUCAUGCCAUCAGAUGUGCCAAGAUGGGAUUAGCUAGUAGGUGGGGUAACGGCUCACCUAGGCGACGAUCCCUAGCUGGUCUGAGAGGAUGACCAGCCACACUGGAACUGAGACACGGUCCAG
rnacentral:rRNA from 1 species